rnacentral:rRNA from 1 species
AGAGUUUGAUUCUGGCUCAGAACGAACGCUGGCGGCGUGGAUAAGACAUGCAAGUCGAACGGGAUAUUAUUUGUAGCAAUACAGAUGAUGUUCAGUGGCGAAAGGGUGCGUAACACGUGGGCAAUCUACCGAGAAGUGGGGGAUAGCUCGCCGAAAGGCGAAUUAAUACCGCAUAUGACCCUGGGUAUCCUUACCUGGGCGUCAAAGCCGGGGCAACCUGGCGCUUCCCGAUGAGCCCGCGGCCUAUCAGCUAGUUGGUGAGGUAACGGCUCACCAAGGCUAUGACGGGUAGCUGGUCUGAGAGGACGACCAGCCACACUGGAACUGAGACACGGUCCAGACACCUACGGGUGGCAGCAGUCGAGAAUUUUUCACAAUGGGGGCAACCCUGAUGGAGCGACGCCGCGUGGAGGAUGAAGGUCUUCGGAUUGUAAACUCCUGUCAUUGGUGAACAAGAUCGGCCGGGUAACUCCGUUGCCGGUUUGCUAGUAGCCGAAGAGGAAGGGACGGCUAACUCUGUGCCAGCAGCCGCGGUAAUACAGAGGUCCCGAGCGUUGUUCGGAUUUAUUGGGCGUAAAGGGUGCGUAGGCGGCGGAGUAAGUUGGGUGUGAAAUCCCGGGGCUUAACCUCGGAAUUGCAUUCAAUACUGCUUCGCUUGAGUACUGGAGAGGAGGCUGGAAUUUACGGUGUAGCAGUGAAAUGCGUAGAUAUCGUAAGGAAGGCCGGUGGCGAAAGCGAGCCUCUGGACAGUUACUGACGCUGAUGCACGAAGGCCAGGGGAGCAAACGGGAUUAGAUACCCCGGUAGUCCUGGCAGUAAACGGUGCGCGUUUGGUGUGGGGGGAUUCGACAAUCUCCGCGCCGGAGCUAACGCGUUAAACGCGCCGCCUGGGAAAUACGGUCGCAAGAUUAAAACUCAAAGAAAUUGACGGGGGCCCGCACAAGCGGUGGAGUAUGUGGCUUAAUUCGAUGCAACGCGAAGAACCUUACCUGGGCUUGACAUGCAUCGCUAAGGCGGUGAAAGCCGCCGAGCCCCGCAAGGGGCACUUUGCACAGGUGCUGCAUGGCUGUCGUCAGCUCGUGUCGUGAGAUGUUGGGUUAAGUCCCGCAACGAGCGCAACCCUUAUGAACUGUUGCAGCGACGCAAGUCGCGCUCUCUGUUCAGACCGCCCUGUGAAACGGGGAGGAAGGUGGGGAUGACGUCAAGUCAGCAUGGCCCUUACGCCCAGGGCUGCACACGUACUACAAUGCCCAGUACAGAGGGAGCCAAGCCGGCGACGGUAAGGAAAUCCCAAAAAACUGGGCUCAGUUCAGAUUGCAGGCUGCAACUCGCCUGCAUGAAGCUGGAAUCGCUAGUAAUGCCGUAUCAGCUACGACGGCGUGAAUACGUUCCCGGGCCUUGUACACACCGCCCGUCACAUCAUGGAAGUCGCCCGCUCCCGAACUGCAUUCGUGAUUUAUUACGAAGCCCUAAGGAGCGGGUGGUAACUGGGAUGAAGUCGUAACAAGGUAGCCGUAGGGGAACCUGCGGCUGGAUCACCUCCUUU